UAAAGCAGAAAGAAAAAUCACUUACUUAUCAAAACAAAGAAGUGGAAAAGAAAAGAGAAGGUGUAGAGUUUUGUUGGUCAAGUUUCAAUUAUUCCUGGUUCCAGGAAGCUGCUACUUGCUUUAUUACCAGGAUCUGUAACCCGAGCGUUUGGUGAUUAACUAAAAAUAAUCAAGUGACAAGGAAGGUCCAGAGAGCAGAGUGCAGAUGGCUAACGCUGGCCUCUUCCAGCUUUCUUCCGUCCCAGAAACACGGAUCGGUUUCCUGGUCUUCCGUGACAGAGCUGGUCCAUUGUCUAUCCCCUUGCUGUUUCAGGGUAAGUGCAAGCUCAUGGUUAAGGAAGCCUGGAAAGGAAUACCUCUACAUCCCACUAUAGAAAUACACAUUUUAUACCUAAUACAUGUAUUUUAUUUAUUUUUCACUAAUAUGACAGAAAUCAGUCUUGGAAUAAAUAUAAGAUAUAACUAUAGAUCUAGAGACACAAGCUAUACAAUAUUCAGAUACUAAAAUUAAUUUUCUAAAAAUCAGGUGAAUGCAUCAUGUACACACGCACACAUGCAUGUAUACCCCUAAAAAACACACCACAGGAGUAAUUGCAGCACUACUGGCAUUUGGACUGAAUCCGUCUGUGCUAUGGGGAGCUCUCCUGUGCGUUUUAGGGUGUUUACCAGCCUCUACACACUGCAUGCUAGGAGUGCCCUCCCCACACUGGCGGUAACAACAAAAACAUCUUCAGACAUUGCUAAAUAGCCCCAGGAAGGCAAAACUCCCCCAAGUUGAGAACCACUAUUGUAUAUAAAACAUAAUCCUAUUCCAUUCCUAAAGACCUACCCAGCGCUCACCAACGUCCAGACUGCACACUUCAUAACCAUGCCAGCACUUUUCUCCGUAAACUACAAAACCUGCCUUUGUUAGGGAUGAAACACAUUAGCAGCUACCGUAUCACCAUGUUAACUGAAUUAGAGCUUGGAAAAGUCUAUUUAAAUGUAAACCAUUAAUUAUUUUUUAAAAAAUAUCACAUCACAUUGCCCAGGCUGGUGUGGCUCACUAGGUUGGAGCAUCAUCCGGUAACCAGAAGGUUAAGGGUUCAAUUCCCAGUCAGGGCACAUACCUAGGUUGUGGGUUUAAUCCCUGGUCGGGGCAUUUACUGGAAGCAACCCAUCAACAUUUCUCGCUUACAUCCACGUUUCUCUCUCUCUUUCCCUUCCUCGGGUGAGGAUAAAAAAAAAAAAAAAAUCUCCUAUCACGUGAAGGGAGGUCAAUCUCCCAAAUGGUUCCUUAAAAUUUUAUUACUUGCUGUGAAUCUAAACUUCUCUAAUAAAAAAACCACAGUCUUUCUAAAAGAAAAUGUAUCCCUGAACUACAAUGAUACAGCACUUGUAUCCAUCUCUGCUGAGGAGGAAGGGAAGAGUCCAAGUGCCCAAAUCUGCGACAAGACGGCUGAGGGCCACUGACAUCUACCAGGCAGAUGGCAGCUGUCGGCUCCGCAGAUGACAAGCAGGGCCCACGAAACUUCCCAGACUCCAAGCAAACAUGCCUCGCACAACAGCACCUCAUGGGAAGCUGGGGCUUAUCACAAACAGACAAAAGCCAUGGCAAAUGAUUUGGGAGAUUCAGCAUGACCUUCACCUUCAGGAGAGAUGCUCGCCUAGAAACCUAUAAAAAUGUCACUGAAAUUAGUCUUUGAAUCUUCUUCCCCAAAAGAAGGCCCACUACACCUCUCACUCAGGAUGAAUGUUCACUCGCUGCUGUCACAUGAGACACCAGAAGGACUGUGAUUUUCCUCAUUGGGUUGUAGGGAAAUUUCUCUUCCUUGUUCCAGUUGCUGGCAAAAACGGGUAAUUCCUUACUGGCUCAUUUUACAUGUCCUGGGCCUGCUCUUUGGGGAGAAGCAAAUACACAUCUCCAAGGGUCUCCACAGGAUGCCAUCUGCACCCCCUUCCACAUGCCUGCUGCCAGCACCUCCACGCACAUGCCAGCUCCAUCUCUGGGUCCAAGUCCCAGUCCUACCACUUCCCGGCUGUGUGAAUUUGCAAGGUUUACUUAACUUCUAAGACUCGGUACUCUCGUAUGUAAAAUGGACAGGAGAACAGUACCAACUGCGUAAGACUUGAGGAGAGUAAGUAAAUUAAUCCAUGGAAAGAAUUUAACACAGACCCAGCCCACAGUAAGUGAUCAAUAAACAGAAGAUAC